rnacentral:rRNA from 1 species
GAUGAACGCUGGCGGCGUGCUUAACACAUGCAAGUCGAACGGAAAGGCUCCUGCUUGCAGGGGUACUCGAGUGGCGAACGGGUGAGUAACACGUGGGUGAUCUGCCCUGCACUUCGGGAUAAGCCUGGGAAACUGGGUCUAAUACCGGAUAGGACGAUGGUUUGGAUGCCAUUGUGUAAAGUUUUUUCGGUGUGGGAUGAGCUCGCGGCCUAUCUGCUUGUUGGUGGGGUAAUGGCCUACCAAGGCGUCGACGGGUAGCCGGCCUGAGAGGGUGUACGGCCACAUUGGGACUGAGAUACGGCCCAGACUCCUACGGGAGGCAGCAGUGGGGAAUAUUGCACAAUGGGCGCAAGCCUGAUGCAGCGACGCCGCGUGGGGGAUGACGGCCUUCGGGUUGUAAACUCCUUUCGCUAGGGACGAAGCGCAAGUGACGGUACCUGGAGAAGAAGCACCGGCUAACUACGU